rnacentral:tRNA from 1 species
UGGGACAUAGCUCAGUUGGUAGAGUGAUUGCCUACCAUGCAUGAAGCCUUGGGUUCGAUCCCCAGUGCUGCAU